rnacentral:rRNA from 1 species
UACGGAAGGGGCAAGCGUUGUUCGGAAUCAUUGGGCGUAAAGGGCGUGUAGGUGGUUCUGUAUGUCUACCGUGAAAGCGUACGGCUCAACCGUAUUUAGUCGGUAGAAACUGCAGGACUUGAGACUGGGAGGGGCUGGUGGAAUUCCCCGUGUAGCGGUGAAAUGCGUAGAGAUGGGGGAGAACACUCGUGGCGAAGGCGGCCAGCUAGACCAGUUCUGACACUGAGGCGCGACAGCGUGGGGAGCAAACAGG